rnacentral:rRNA from 1 species
AGAGUUUGAUCAUGGCUCAGGAUGAACGCUAGCGGGAGGCCUAACACAUGCAAGCUGAGCGGUAUUUGUCUUUCGGGACAGAGAGAGCGGCGUACGGGUGCGUAACACGUGUGCAACCUGCCUUUAUCAGGAGGAUAGCCUUUCGAAAGGAAGAUUAAUACUCCAUAAUAUAUUAAUUGGCAUCAAUUGAUAUUGAAAACUCCGGUGGAUAAAGAUGGGCACGCGCAAGAUUAGAUAGUUGGUGAGGUAACGGCUCACCAAGUCGAUGAUCUUUAGGGGCCUGAGAGGGUGAUCCCCACACUGGUACUGAGACACGGACCAGACUCCUACGGGAGGCAGCAGUGAGGAAUAUUGGACAAUGGGUUAGCGCCUGAUCCAGCCAUCCCGCGUGAAGGAUUAAGGACCUAUGGUUUGUAAACUUCUUUUGUACAGGGAUAAACCUACCCUCGUGAGGGUAGCUGAAGGUACUGUACGAAUAAGCACCGGCUAACUCCGUG